GCGCCCGUAGCUCAGCUGGAUAGAGCACUGCCCUCCGAAGGCAGAGGUCUCAGGUUCAAAUCCUGUCGGGCGUA
rnacentral:tRNA from 1 species